UUUUCCUCAGGAUAGCUGGCUCAUGAGAUUCAGUCUCAUCCGCUAAAGCUAAUGAUUAGAGGCCUUGCGGCCGAAAUGACCUCAACCUAUUCUCAAGCUUUAACUGGGUGAGAAGUCUGGCUUUUCUGUACUUUUCAGAAAAGAAAACUCUGUCUUUUACACUGAAUGCACACUGCGGGGGGAGGGAAGGGGGACAGUUCUAUAUCUCCCGUUCUACUGGGCCA
rnacentral:rRNA from 1 species